rnacentral:rRNA from 1 species
UACGUAGGACCCAAGCGUUAUCCGGAAUCACUGGGCGUAAAGAGUUGCGUAGGUGGCUUGUCAAGCAGCGUGUGAAAGCGUACGGCUCAACCGUAUACACAUACACUGAACUGGCAAGCUAGAGGAUGAGAGAGGUUAUUGGAAUUCCAAGUGUAGGAGUGAAAUCCGUAGAUAUUUGGAGGAACACCGAUGGCGUAGGCAGAUAACUGGCUCAUUUCUGACACUAAGGCACGAAAGCGUGGGGAGCAAACGGG